GCCCUCAUGGUGUAGUGGUGAACGCUCUUGUUUUCCAAGAUGAGAACUCGGGUUCAAUUCCACAUGGUGGUA